UGGAUGAAGAUAAGAGAUGAGAGAGAAACUGGCCUCCAUGACAAACACAACAAUAUAAGUUUCAUCCGGAAAAAGCGUUGUUACAUUUUUCAUCUGUCCUGCCUAGUAGUAUAGCUUGUUUUUCUUCAUUUUAACGCUAACUGUUUUUUUGUAUUAUCAUUGGUAUUGCCUUUCUGCCCCUCUCAGUUUCUAAUAAAGAUCAGGACACAGGAAGUCGUGGUCAGGGCAUUGUGCUACAGAUCCUUGGGGAAAGCUGAGAAACCUCACAGUUUGAGUGUAUGGUGAAGUUAGGAUUUUUCCUAAUGUUCCUGGGGAUUUAGCGAAGGUCAUUUACGUUUAAUAUAACUCUCAAAUCUAAUAAAAACUUAAUUAGACAGUAGGCAUGUAGGUUUACCUAGCUGAUCCCCUCCAGGUUAAAUGCUUUCUUAUUCAAGUUUUCUCAACUCGUCAUUCAAGAUGCAAUUUUGUGUUUAAGGUAUUAGGCUACCAUGUUUCAAAGAAAAACGAUUGUGGAUCUUGAUCUAAUGCAGUUGGCAUAUUAUACAACAUACUCUAAUCCAACAUAUAGAAAUACAUUACAUUUGGUCUGUGAUUAUAGAGUAUUAGAUAUAGAAAAUAUUGUAAAAACAAGAUUGUCCUAAAACAAUGAUUAAACAGUGACCAAUCUAAGAUAAAUAAGUAUUUACUAUGACAUUUUACUUAUGCAGGUGGUACUGAAAGAUUCCAGUCCUGUGGAGCUGUUUCAUCACAGCUGCACAUGUGUUGCUGAAGGAGCAUUAUGCAACCACUGUGUUGCUUUGCUGUUCCAGUCAGCACAUUACUCUCAGCUGAAGGUGCCAGUGGUCCCUCCUGUGCUAGGCUGUACUGAAGGAGAACAGCAGUGGCACAAGCCCAGAACUUUGGAGCACGCUCUACAAAGGCCUCAGUGGGGAUUUGGGUGACAGAGGUGUAUAAAAAUGUCUCAACAGCUGAGUCGCCGAUGAUCUGCAGCAUGGGCAUCAGCUGUGAAACUCCCCUGGUUGACUCUGACCUUGGCAAAGUUCAAGCCAUUGUCCUACCAACAACCAGCAACAGCAAAGGGACCUGUCCUUCCAUGCUGCCCCACCAAGUCCAUCUGUGCCUCUUCAGAAUUACCGCCUACAGCCAUCAAGUUGCAUGUUUGUCUGUGCUGAACCACAACAGCUACACCAUAGAAGUCUCACGUUUCAGGGAGAUCUGCCAGGUUCGAGAAAACUCUGAAGAAGGUCUGGCUAACCAGAUACUGCAAGGGACCCAUCAGACGGUAGCUAUGAAGAAGGGGCUCGAAUUAGAGGCAGAUGCUAUCUGGGACUAUUGCCAAAUGAAAAGGGUCAAGCACUACCUCUGUGGAUUCGUAAUUCACCUGAAGCUCCUUGGCUGGGGGCAUUUUCAGAUGGGUUAAUCAUUGACCCUUCAGAGGCAUGUCAGUUUGGGCUGAUUGAGAUGAAGUCACUGAAUGUUAAAAGCUAUGUGGAGUGCACAUAUCUCCAAACGAAUUCAGGCAAAUUGGAGCUAAAACAAACCCAUGCUUACUACUGGCAAGUACAGGGGCAGAUGCUAAUAACGGGAAUGAGUUGGUGUGAUUUUGUAGUCUCAGGUGAGGAAGAUGUACUCAUUCAAAUAAUUUACAGAAACAUUGAUGUUUUGGAUGUAAUCAGAGAGAAGGUAGUCAGGUUUUAUUUGUCUACUUGCAGAAAUGUCUAAUGCUUCCGCAUUUAUUACCAUUGUACUGAAGAGGAGGCAGACCUCUCUAGCACUACAGAUAAGAGAGAAUUUUUUGGGGGGGGGGGUGAACUGCCCCUUUAACAACUGUAAAGAACUGUAACUACAUUACAUGACAUGCUUGUGAUAUUAAUUGUUGCACCUUCAAGUUCUUAUGAAAAAAAGUCAA